rnacentral:rRNA from 1 species
UACGUAGGGGCCUAGCGUUGUCCGGAUUUAUUGGGCGUAAAGGGCUCGUAGGCGGCCUGUCGCGUCGGGAGUGAAAGCCCACUGCUUAACGGUGGGUCUGCUUCCGGUACGGGCGGGCUGGAGUAUGGCAGGGGAGACUGGAAUUCCUGGUGUAGCGGUGGAAUGCGCAGAUAUCAGGAGGAACACCGGUGGCGAAGGCGGGUCUCUGGGCCAUUACUGACGCUGAGGAGCGAAAGCGUGGGGAGCGAACAGG